rnacentral:rRNA from 1 species
GUGGGGAAUAUUCCGCAAUGGACGAAAGUCUGACGGAGCAACGCCGCGUGAGUGAUGAAGGUUUUCGGACUGUAAAGCUCUGUUGUUUAGGACGAAAGUACCUGUUGCAAAUAGUUACAGGUAUUGACGGUACUGAACGAGGAAGCCACGGCUAACUACGUGCCAGCAGCCGCGGUAAUACGUAGGUGGCAAGCGUUGUCCGGAAUUAUUGGGCGUAAAGAGCAUGUAGGCGGGAAUCUAAGUCUGUUGUGAAAAUGCGGGGCUCAACCCCGUAUUGCGAUGGAAACUGGGUUUCUUGAGUGCAGGAGAGGAAAGGGGAAUUCCCAGUGUAGCGGUGAAAUGCGUAGAUAUUGGGAGGAACACCAGUGGCGAAGGCGCCUUUCUGGACUGUGUCUGACGCUGAGAUGCGAAAGCCAGGGUAGCGAACGGGAUUAGAAACCCUUGUAGUCC